rnacentral:rRNA from 1 species
GAUGAACGCUGGCGGCGUGCCUAACACAUGCAAGUCGAACGGAGAUUACGGACGGAAGUUUUCGGAUGGAAGACUGUAAUUCUUAGUGGCGGACGGGUGAGUAACGCGUGGGCAACCUGCCCUAUACAGGGGGAUAGCAGCUGGAAACGGCUGGUAAGACCGCAUAAGUCGGUUAAAUCGCAUGAUUUGAUCGGGAAAUGAGCAAUCAGGUAUAGGAUGGGCCCGCGUCCGAUUAGCCAGUUGGCAGGGUAAAAGCCUACCAAAGCGACGAUCGGUAGCCGGACUGAGAGGUCGGACGGCCACAUUGGGACUGAGACACGGCCCAAACUCCUACGGGAGGCAGCAGUGGGGGAUAUUGCACAAUGGAGGAAACUCUGAUGCAACGACGCCGCGUGAGUGAAGAAGUAUUUCGGUAUGUAAAGCUCUAUCAGCAGGGAAGAUGAUGACGGUACCUGACUAAGAAGCCCCGGCUAACUACGUG